GACGAACGCUGGCGGCGUGCUUAACACAUGCAAGUCGAACGGAAAGGCCUCAGCUUGCUGGGGUACUCGAGUGGCGAACGGGUGAGUAACACGUGGGUGAUCUGCCUUGCACUCUGGGAUAAGCUUGGGAAACUGGGUCUAAUACCGGAUAUGAACUGCCUUUAGUGUGGUGGUUGGAAAGUUUUUUCGGCGCAAGAUGAGCUCGCGGCCUAUCAGCUUGUUGGUGGGGUAAUGGCCUACCAAGGCGUCGACGGGUAGCCGGCCUGAGAGGGUGUACGGCCACAUUGGGACUGAGAUACGGCCCAGACUCCUACGGGAGGCAGCAGUGGGGAAUAUUGCACAAUGGCGGAAGCCUGAUGCAGCGACGCCGCGUGGGGGAUGACGGCCUUCGGGUUGUAAACUCCUUUCGACAGGGACGAAGCUUUUUGUGACGGUACCUGUAUAAGAAGCACCGGCUAACUACGUG
rnacentral:rRNA from 1 species